UACAACCGUAGCAUGUUGAAACACCAGUUCUCAUUCGAUCACUGAAGUUAAGCAAUGUUGAGCCUGGUCAGUACCUAGAUGGGUGUCUGUUUGGGAAUAUCAGGUGCUGGAAG